rnacentral:snoRNA from 1 species
CUGCAUGUUUUGGCCCUGGGCCAUCGCUGGCCUCUCUAUCUCUGUAGAGUUGACAAGUACAAACAUGCUAGAUUAACACUGAAAACGUGGAGUUAACAGGGCCACCAGUCUUUCAAGGUCAGGCUGAGUAGGUAGUAUAAUACUCCAACACUC